rnacentral:lncRNA from 1 species
AUGCAGCAGUCAGGCUCCAGAAUGUCAUCUGUUAUGGAAGUGAAGACGCCGUGCUCAGCGAGGGGGCUUCCCAGCAGGACUGCUGCGACAUCGUUUCAGGUAUGGGGAGACCUGGGAUGCGCCCGGCACCGUGGAAGGGCUGGAGAGAAAGUGAUCCACGGGAGCGUACAGUGCUGCCCUGAGACCUUGCACUUGACUGCAAAGCUCAACAAGGUGAGUCACCCAAGGAGGGGGAGGUACUGUGGAAUGCUGGUCGAAGGCUAUCAGGGAGGGCUUCCGGGAAGCGGUGAUCUCCAAGCCAAGACCCAGUGGACAAACCAGCUUUGGAUUUGUGUGUGUGUGUCUGUGUGUGUCUGAGUGAGGAGGAGUGUGGUGGGGCAGAGACUGGAAUGAACAUCGCAGCCAGAGACACAAGCGCUCGGGACUAAAAGAUGAGUGUGCGCGGCUGCACAGACACCCACGGUGCGGGAGGCCGGCUGCAGCCCUGGCCUGGAGGAUGCUGCGGUUCACCGUGAGGACUUGGCUUUGAUCCAGAGGGCGGCGGAGCGCCAUGGGAAGGCCGAGGAGGGGCGCGAUGGCACCGGUGGUUUCCCAGCACUAAGGUCCCUGGGGCCCCCUGCAGAGAAAAUGUCCAGGCGGCGAGAUCCACCUCCCACGCCAGCGCAGAGAAUUGUGGAAUCGGUUUUGGGGUCCGUUUUAGACGUUGAGACCUAAAAAGGAAUUUAAGAAAAUGCCUCUAACAACCCCACCCCACCCCCCGACAAAGAGUAGUUCCAGAAAUGGGGGCUAGGUGGUCCUGGCGUCAAGCCAAGAAUGAGUGGCCAGGGCACCUGAGGGUGGGCACGUGCUGCUAAGCUGGGGGAGGGCGUCUCGGAGCCCUUCUCUCCGCCCCCAAGGACGCUGGCAGGUAACAAGGGGGUACCCGCUCUGCUGCCCUCUUGCCGGGUCUCCACUCCUGCAUCUGCAGGACCUGCCCGGGAGGGCGGAGAGGCUGGGGGCAGGCUGGGGAAGCCGCCCGCUCCACCUCCGGAGCGCUGCGGGGGUGCAAGAGUUCUCGGUUCUGUUCUCCUGGAAAGGCCUCCGUGUCCUGUGGUCCCACAGGGUGGAGGCCAGUGGCUCCGUCCACAGAGCACAGCUCACCUACUCUGCACUGGGGGUGUCGGGGACCAGAAGGUCACACCGGGGAGCAGUGGCGAGAGGGACUGCGCUGGGGGACCUGGGAGAGGGGAG